GUCAACAUCACAACCAGGAGGGAGAAAAAUGUUUAUUCUGUGUAUUAAAUUUCUAAAGUUUGUCCACAACUCCAUAGGGAUUGCUGGAGGAGGCGGGAUUUAUGACCUAUACUGCAGCCCGUCACCAGAGGGUGCUGUUCUUGUGGUGGCUUUACCUAGCAAGGAGGCAGACUGCGUCCAUUCUAUAUACAGUCUAUGGGCUCUAUUUUCGUGCGCGCCGGUGAGGCGGCGGAGGGCGGCGAGCCCCGCGCAGUUGUAUUUUCGUCUGGCGGAGCCCAGCGUAAGGCCAGUUUGGUAUUUUCGUGGCAUGAGCCGCACGGAGGCGAGCCGAGAUCCGCCAAGCUGGGCGUGGUGGCGUGGCAGGGGGAGGUGUCGACAGAAUCAGCUGGCGCAGUGACAUUUUCGUGCUCGCCAACGGCGUGUAAAGUGCGCUGAAAGCUCGCCGAUUCAAACCUGGUCAGCUUUCAGCGCAAGGCGGAACGCAGCUGGUCUUGUAGUAUUUUGGUAGACCGGCGGCGUAUCGACAUACGUCACUGAUGCCUCACCGGCAGGAUUCCACAGUGUCACGCACAUUUCAGUGCAAUAAAUAAUCAUCAUCAACUAUUAAUCUGAGUCAGCACAUACAUUUAGAUCUAUAUCGAUAUAUUCUGAUCUAUAUCUGAUCUGAUGAGCGCGUUUGGCACGCGUUUGGACACACAACCUGACCGAAUCAACACAGCUGAAACCACAUCAAAUUAAAUUAAAUAUCUAGUAAAUAUUCACACAUGAUGAAGUUAACAAGAUAUGUAAUUCGUCUCCCUCCUUUUCUUUCUUCCUCUUCCUCUUAUUUCUCGCACAGCUCGACCUGGACACGUCUCCGUGUCCUCUGUCCGUCUUGCUGCUGCUGCAGCUGAACAGAUGAUUUGUUUCAGUGCUCAGAUGCGUUAUCUACUUUAAGCCGACAUACGGAUAUUAUAAUAUUCAGUUUUGUGAGCCAAAUUUAUUUUAUAUGCCAACAUCUAUGAAAGAAAGAGCCAGGCCACGGAGCGCGAUGCGUCAUUUACGCACAGAUGGUUCCGAUUUUAAUGCCAUUUUUGGAGUUUAUGUUGUGAUCUGUGCGCUCAACCCACCUUUGUCAUGUGAGGUUUGAAUAUGAGCAACUUUAUGUGAGUGUCUUUAUUUGUGGAAACGGGUGUUUGUCUUACCAGUGGGUCCAACAUUACGCACACUAAAUCCAUCUGUGCUCAUAUGAGAGAGUGUGGAGGACACUUGUUGAGGAACUGCCCUCUGUCGCCAUCUUGUGGCAUUACUGUCUUAAGACAUCUCUUGAUCUCUUUGACUACUCCAUGAAAAUAGUAAUACGCCUCGCCUGUGGCGGAUUUAAAGGCAAGGAGAGGAGCCUAUGUGAUUGGUGAAAACAGGUCUCGGCUGUGUUAAACCAACUACACGCCCUUUCUCCUCCCCGUCUACGACUUAUGGUGCUGGGAGGAGCUGAGUUAGGGAGGGGGAAUACUUACGCCGGGCUGCGCGGCUCACCAAAAUACCAAAAUGUGCUUGGGAACGCCUUGUCAGCGCGGCGGAUCUGACUGACGCUGCGCUUGCGGCACGUCUCCGGCGAGGCACCAAAAUAGAGCCCUAGGUCUCCUACUGACCGACUGCAGUCCAAAAUGUUUGACAGGUAGUUACAUUUUUAAG